GUUUUGCUUUGAUGAAUUAUGAAUCUAAUCACAUGUCAGACUUCAGAGGUCUCUUUUAAACAAAGUGAUCAAUGAGAUUACAUUUCAUAUUUCUGAGCUCAUA